AAAACAUGGCUCUCUGCUUAUGUAAAUAUAGAGAGUCGAGCCUGCCCAGUGAAUUUUCAACGGCCGCGGUACCCUGACCGUGCAAAGGUAGCAUAAUCAUUUGCCUUAUAAUUGAAGGCUAGUAUGAAUGGUUUGACGAGAGCAACGCUGUCUCUUUUUUAUUUUCAAGAACUUAACUUUUAGGUGAAGAGGCCUAAAUUUUAUUGAAGGACAAGAAGACCCUGUCGAGCUUAAAAGAUAUUAUAGAAGUGCAUAUAUUUUUAAAUAAAUUUUCUAUUCAGCUUUUUAGUUGGGGCGACUAAGGAACAAAAAGAGCUUCUUAUUAAUAAUAAACACUCAUGUUUAGAUCCGGCAAUAACCGAUCAAAGGAAUUAGUUACCGCAGGGAUAACAGCAUAAUCUCUCUUGAGAGACCUAAUCGAAAGAGGGGGUUGUGACCUCGAUGUUGGACUAGAAUAUCCUAAAGAUGCAGA
rnacentral:rRNA from 1 species